GUGACAAUGGCAAGGAGGUCACACCUGUUCCCAUGCCGAACACAGAAGUUAAGCUCCUUAGCGCCGAUGGUAGUCGGGCUUACGUCCCGCUAGAGUAGGACGUUGCCAGGC
rnacentral:rRNA from 1 species